UUCUUUUCUUCUUCGUGCGGCAGCCAAAGCUUUAACCGUGUUGCUUGUCUGUUCUUUUAUAUCCCAACGAGUUGGCGAGCGUCAAGCUUCUGGCGAGAAUAAUGUUCUGUCACAAGAACGAUCAUCUUAAUGCCCUUUCAUUUUAAUCCAUUACUUUGAAAAGGAGUUUAGUGAGGGCUGGUAGAUCAUACAUUU
rnacentral:snoRNA from 1 species